AUUGAACGCUGGCGGCAUGCUUUACACAUGCAAGUCGAACGGCAGCGCAGGCUUCGGCCUGGCGGCGAGUGGCGAACGGGUGAGUAAUACAUCGGAACGUGCCCAGUAGUGGGGGAUAGCUCGGCGAAAGCCGGAUUAAUACCGCAUACGACCUGAGGGUGAAAGCGGGGGAUCUUCGGACCUCGCGCUAUUGGAGCGGCCGAUGGCAGAUUAGUUAGUUGGUGGGGUAAAGGCCUACCAAGGCGACGAUCUGUAGCUGGUCUGAGAGGACGACCAGCCACACUGGGACUGAGACACGGCCCAGACUCCUACGGGAGGCAGCAGUGGGGAAUUUUGGACAAUGGGCGAAAGCCUGAUCCAGCAAUGCCGCGUGUGUGAUGAAGGCCUUCGGGUUGUAAAGCACUUUUGGCGGGAACGAAAAGGACUGUGCCAAUACCACGGUUCGAUGACGGUACCCGCAGAAUAAGCACCGGCUAACUACGUG
rnacentral:rRNA from 1 species